rnacentral:rRNA from 1 species
UUUUUAUUUUUAAUAAAUAUAAAUUAUAUUUAUUAAAAAUUUUAUUGGGGUGAUAAAAAAAUUUUUUAAACUUUUUUUUAUUUAAUCAUUUAUUAAUGAAUUUAUUAAUCUUUAAUUUAAAAAUUUAAAAUAAAA